CCUCCAUGGGAACAGGGACAGGUGGGGACAACGAUGGGACCCCCUGUGGGGAGGGGGACACAAAUGGGGACAGUGACCCCCAUUUGCCCCUGUGCUGUCCCCCCCCCCUUCCUGUCCCUUUAGAAUAGUGACAGUCACACCCCUGUCCCCCCCCAAUCUCCCCUAUGUCCCCAUCAGGAUGGGGGUCCCCAAUGUCCCUAUUAGGGUGGGGGGUCCCCAUUGAAACGGGGGGGGGUCCCAGUGCCCCCAUGUCCCCACUGAAAUGGGGGUCCCAGAGUUGCCAUGUCCCCCUGGGGGGUCCCCAUAUUCUCAUUAGGAUGGGGGUCCCCAAUGUCCUCAUGUUGCCCUUGGGGGUCCCCACUGAAAGGGGGAGGGGGGUCCCGGUGUCCCCAUGGGGGUCCCCAUCAGGGUGGGGGUCCCGGUUAAAAUAGGGGCCCCAACGUCCCCAUCAAUCGCAGCGAGGAUCCCGUUACCCCUCUGGGGGGGGUGGGGGGGGUCC
rnacentral:lncRNA from 1 species